AGAGUUUGAUCCUGGCUCAGGACGAACGCUGGCGGCGCGCCUAACACAUGCAAGUCGAACGAGCGAGAGAGAGCUUGCUUUCUCGAGCGAGUGGCGAACGGGUGAGUAACGCGUGAGGAACCUGCCUCAAAGAGGGGGACAACAGUUGGAAACGACUGCUAAUACCGCAUAAGCCCACAGCUCGGCAUCGAGCAGAGGGAAAAGGAGCAAUCCGCUUUGAGAUGGCCUCGCGUCCGAUUAGCUAGUUGGUGAGGUAAUGGCCCACCAAGGCGACGAUCGGUAGCCGGACUGAGAGGUUGAACGGCCACAUUGGGACUGAGACACGGCCCAGACUCCUACGGGAGGCAGCAGUGGGGAAUAUUGCACAAUGGGGGAAACCCUGAUGCAGCGACGCCGCGUGGAGGAAGAAGGUCUUCGGAUUGUAAACUCCUGUUGUUGAGGAAGAUAAUGACGGUACUCAACAAGGAAGUGACGGCUAACUACGUGCCAGCAGCCGCGGUAAAACGUAGGUCACAAGCGUUGUCCGGAAUUACUGGGUGUAAAGGGAGCGCAGGCGGGAAGACAAGUUGGAAGUGAAAUCUAUGGGCUCAACCCAUAAACUGCUUUCANAACUGUUUUUCUUGAGUAGUGCAGAGGUANGCGGAAUUCCCGGUGUAGCGGUGGAAUGCGUAGAUAUCGGGAGGAACGCCAGUGGCGAAGGCGGCCUACUGGGCACCAACUGACGCUGAGGCUCGAAAGUGUGGGUAGCAAACAGGAUUAGAUACCCUGGUAGUCCACACCGUAAACGAUGAUUACUAGGUGUUGGAGGAUUGACCCCUUCAGUGCCGCAGUUAACACAAUAAGUAAUCCACCUGGGGAGUACGACCGCAAGGUUGAAACUCAAAGGAAUUGACGGGGGCCCGCACAAGCAGUGGAGUAUGUGGUUUAAUUCGACGCAACGCGAAGAACCUUACCAAGUCUUGACAUCCCUUGACGAUGCUGGAAACAGUAUUUCUCUUCGGAGCAAGGAGACAGGUGGUGCAUGGUUGUCGUCAGCUCGUGUCGUGAGAUGUUGGGUUAAGUCCCGCAACGAGCGCAACCCUUACUGUCAGUUACUACGCAAGAGGACUCUGGCAGGACUGCCGUUGACAAAACGGAGGAAGGUGGGGAUGACGUCAAAUCAUCAUGCCCUUUAUGACUUGGGCUACACACGUACUACAAUGGCGUUAAACAAAGAGAAGCAAGACCGCGAGGUGGAGCAAAACUCAGAAACAACGUCCCAGUUCGGACUGCAGGCUGCAACUCGCCUGCACGAAGUCGGAAUUGCUAGUAAUCGUGGAUCAGCAUGCCACGGUGAAUACGUUCCCGGGCCUUGUACACACCGCCCGUC
rnacentral:rRNA from 1 species